rnacentral:rRNA from 1 species
GGAGGCAGCAGUGGGGAAUAUUGGACAAUGGGGGAAACCCUGAUCCAGCGACGCCGCGUGUGUGAAGAAGGUCUGCGGGUUGUAAGAGCACUUUCGCCGGGGACGACUGAUGACGGUACCCGGAUAAGAAUGCCCCGGUUAACCUUCGUGCCAUGCAUGCCGCGGUAAUACCGAAGGGGGGCUAGCGUUGCUCGGAAUUGACUGGGGCCGUAAAACGGGCGCGUAGGCGGCCAUGUUACAGUCAGAACGUGAAAUUCCCUGGGGCUUAAACCUGGGGGCUGCGUUUCGAUACGUUGCCAGGGCUUAAGAG